rnacentral:lncRNA from 1 species
CAUGAGUAAAUAGUAUAAAUAAAUGAACUGGUAAGUGGUAACACAAUUGGUUUUUGUUUCACUCUCUCCAAAAUCAGGCCAAAAGUGAGAAAUAUUGCCGAUUCUAAAAGUCAAAUAAAUUGAACGACGAGCUCGAAAAACAAUAAUUCAAGCAAACACAAGUUCUAACGGAAUCCAAAUAACAACCUAGCUAAGCUAAUAAGUCCAUCAUCAACAAACACGAAAAAGAAAGAAAAAGAACUAAUUAAGGUUUUAAUUUAAAUCGGGGUGGUGGUGGUUUGGAGUGAACCACAUAGGCGAAGGUUCAAUCCUUUGUAUGCUCUCGUAAUCACAUGGAUAAUAGCACGGCGAAAAGGUAGAGUUUAUUGCAUUUACUACCCCUGUGAAAUUCGCAACUGCACGAUUCCCCCCUGUCAUAAAAAAUUUAGCAAAUGCCCCCCUAUGCUUAUUUCUAGAAUGCACAUUCGACCCAUUUACUUUAUUUCCAUUGACCAGCCGUGAAAGGACCAAAAUACCCUGAGUAAGUUUGUUAUAUUACACGUUCCGAAUUUUUUCAUUAUAUUUAAUUAAAUCUUAAUUUUUAUUUCUAUUUUAAACAAAUACAAUACACAAAAUAUUAUUAAAUAUAAAUAUAUAAAAAAGAAAAGAAAAAAGGAAGUUUUUAAUUUUCAUUUCAGUCCUUUGCACUUUCAAAAAAGCCCUCUCCUACACCACACAUAAAAUCACCAUUGCCGGACAACUCAAAAAACUCCGAACUAGCCGCCCAACUCAGCCACCACCUCCACUUCGCCGCCCAACUCAGCCACCACCUCCGCUUCGCCGCCCACCUCGUCACUUCCCCGCGCCGUCCAACUCAGCCACCACCUCCGCUUCACCGCCCGCCUCAUCACUUCCCCGCGCCGCCCAACUCAGCCACCACCUCCGCUUCGCCGCCCGCCUCGUCACUUCCCCUGCGCUGCCCAACUCAGCCACCACCUCCGCUUCAUCUGUCCGCCGUCCGACCGGGACAAUUUCUCAGAGUACCGAUACAAACGGAGCACGGCCUUCUGCAAAUCCGCCGCCCACAACCACCCCAAUUCAACCGCCCACAACCACAAACAUUACUCAACCCCUCUCUCUCCUCGACCUUCCUAAAUCCUUGCCGUUCAGGUCCAGAAAUUUCCAGAUAUUUUGGAGAGGAAGAAGAUUAGACGAGGAAAUAAAUUAGGGGGAUAGGUUUAGGAUUUUAAUUAAGUUCUGGAAAAUUGUAAUUUAACCCCUGCAUUUAUUUUAAAAAUUCAAUUUAGUUCCUUACCUUUAAAAAUUAUAUUUUUAAGGUUUGUAUUUUUUUAUUGCAAAUAACCACGGGGUAGUUUUGUCCUUUCAUAAGCAAAAGGGAAGAAAAAAUCGCAAACGCGGCGAGUGAGCCGCACGAUCAGCUCCAAGGGGGGUUUUCGCCUUUGACUAAUAAGUAUAGGGGGGUAUUUGCUAAUUUUUUUAUGACAGGGGGGAAUCAUGCAGUUACGAAUUUCACAGGGGUAGUAAAUGCAAUAAACUCCGAAAAGGUACCAUCUUUAUAGUUGAAAAUGCC